AUUUGAAAUUCAUUAUUAGUCUGAGUUCAGGAUACCUUGUUGAAUUAUGAUCAGAAAAUUGAUAUUCCUACUAGUGAUAACAGUGUGUUCCAAUGCUCAAAGAACCAGGGACACAGAAGAUCUUACAAGCAUCACAAAUCCAGACAACGCUGAAGAACUAGAAAACUUUGAAGAUCAAGGAAGUGUAGAUGAUCAAGAUUAUUAAGAAAAUCAAAUAAGAAAAAAUAAUAGAAAGGGGGGAGAUUCAAACAGAAGAGAGCAAGGUGGAAAGGUAAACUGUAAAAAAGUUGGAUGAGCUUGCUGUGGAGAAAAUGGAACUUAUGGAAGAAAAUGCAGGAAGGGUGGUUGGUGUGUGCGUGGGAAUGGUAAAACAGGCAAAUGUAUUGGAGCUAAGAGAAGAAGAAGAAGAACAACAACAACAACAACAACAACAACCACUACAACUACAACAACUACCCCAUCAUGUAACCAGUUAUGUACUGCAUUUGUUCAAAGCGGCUUUCAGGGUCCAAGACCACCUCAGGAA